UGGCGGCAGGCCUAACACAUGCAAGUCGAGCGCGCCUUCGGGUGAGCGGCGGACGGGUUAGUAACGCGUGGGAACGUGCCCUUCUCUACGGAAUAGCCUCUGGAAACGGAGAGUAAUACCGUAUACGCCCUUUGGGGGAAAGAUUUAUCGGAGAAGGAUCGGCCCGCGUUAGAUUAGGUAGUUGGUGGGGUAACGGCCUACCAAGCCUACGAUCUAUAGCUGGUUUUAGAGGAUGAUCAGCAACACUGGGACUGAGACACGGCCCAGACUCCUACGGGAGGCAGCAGUGGGGAAUCUUAGACAAUGGGGGCAACCCUGAUCUAGCCAUGCCGCGUGAGUGAUGAAGGCCUUAGGGUCGUAAAGCUCUUUCGCCUGUGAUGAUAAUGACAGUAGCAGGUAAAGAAACCCCGGCUAACUCCGUGCCAGCAGCCGCGGUAAUACGGAGGGGGUUAGCGUUGUUCGGAAUUACUGGGCGUAAAGCGCGCGUA
rnacentral:rRNA from 1 species